UGACCAGGCUGUGGGAAGCGACCACACAUCAAUCUCAUAGCCCCAGGCAAGGCAGUGAGCCAUCUGAUUCCAGGAGAGCGGAGCAGGUGUGGGAAAGCCACCAGCCUCCCCUGAAGACAGCUAAGAUAUCCUGGUCUAGAUCUUGAGUGUCUGAUGGGAGCUUGGUGUAGCUCAGAAUGGAGGAUGGCUUUAAGCAUCUUCCCCAUCCUUGGCAUAAACUAAAGCAGCAUCUGCUAACAGGGAAAAUGUUCUAGGUCAGCCAGUAUUUACAUGACAGACUGAACGGCACUAAGGGGGCUUAUUCUGGUC